UACGGGGGGGGCAAGCGUUGUUCGGAAUUACUGGGCGUAAAGGGCUCGUAGGCGGCCAACUAAGUCAUACGUGAAAUCCCCAGGCUCAACCUGGGAACUGCAUCCGAUACUGGAUGGCUUGAAUCCGGGAGAGGGAUGCAGAAUUCCAGGUGUAGCGGUGAAAUGCGUAGAUAUCUGGAGGAAUACCGGUGGCGAAGGCGGCAUCCUGGACCGGCAUUGACGCUGAGGAGCGAAAGCCAGGGGAGCAAACGGG
rnacentral:rRNA from 1 species